rnacentral:rRNA from 1 species
UUAGAAGAAAACGGAUGCGUAUGCUGAUCAGGAGCCUUUGGGAAUCAGUCGCACGAGUCGCGAAAGUGCUCCGGCCUAGAACGCAAGUCUAGCCGGGGUUCUAUUAGUAGCGAUCGUACGGCGCAUUUCUCGAAGGUAAGCACUGCGACCGAUACGCCUGGCUGACGAAGCGUUGGAAUUGAGGGCGAGUCCUUUCGGGGAUUCGUAACCAGUUCUUUCGCGUACUCGUCAGACCGCCCAAUGUAUCGCGAGCCUAGAAUGUACGUUGGCGUAAAAUGCUCGUCGGAGUAAUGGAUAGUCGAUUAAUUAGCCGGUUCUUGCUCGCAGGGGCUGGUGAAUUUAGUCGACUCAGAAGUUACCGGCGACGCUUCGACGUACUGGCGUCAGCAGUGUCAGUGUCAGUCACCCAUCCGACCCGUCUUGAAACACGGACCAAGGAGUCUAACAUAUGCGCGAGCUAAUGAGUGGAAAACUCAGAGGCGCAAUAAAAGUAAACGCUGUUUCGGACAGCCAAGAUACGAUCCCGGAUUUCAAAGUCCGGGCGCAGUAUCGCCCCGUCUCGACCGCAUGUCGGUGGGGCGGAGGAAGAGUGCAUACGUUGGGACCCGAAAGAUGGUGAACUAUGCCUGAGCAGAGCGAAGCCAGAGGAAACUCUGGUGGAGGUUCGUAGCGGUUCUGACGUGCAAAUCGAUCGUCAGACUUGGGUAUAGGGG